AAACUACUCCCUCCGUUCCAAAAUAAGUGUCUCAACUUUGUACUAAAUUUAGUACAAAGUUGAGACACUUAUUUUGGGACGGAGGGAGUAUAUG
rnacentral:pre_miRNA from 1 species